rnacentral:rRNA from 1 species
CACUGUCACUCCUACGGGGAGGCAGCAGUGGGGGAAUAUUGCACAAUGGGCGCAAGCCUGAUGCAGCCAUGCCGCGUGUGUGAAGAAGGCCUUCGGGUUGUAAAGCACUUUCAGUUGUGAGGAAGGUGGUGUUGUGAAUAGCAGCAUCAUUUGACGUUAGCAACAGAAGAAGCACCGGCUAACUCCGUGCCAGCAGCCGCGGUAAUACGAGGUGCGAGCGUUAAUCGGAAUUACUGGGCGUAAAGCGCAUGCAGGUGGUUUGUUAAGUUCAGAUGUGAAAGACCCGGGCUCAACCUGGGAAUUGCAUUUGUAAACUAGGCAAACUAAGAGUACUGUAGAGGGGGGUAGGAAUUUCAGGUGUAGCGGUGAAAUAGCGUAGAGAUCUGAAGGAAUACCGGUGGCGAAGGCGGCCCCCUCGGACAGAUACUGACACUCAGAUGCGAAAGCGUGGGGAGCAAACAGGAUUAGAUACCCUGGUAG